rnacentral:rRNA from 1 species
UACGGGGGGGGCAAGCGUUGUUCGGAAUUACUGGGCGUAAAGGGCUCGUAGGCGGCCAACUAAGUCGGACGUGAAAUCCCCAGGCUCAACCUGGGAACUGCAUCCGAUACUGGAUGGCUUGAAUUCGGGAGAGGGAUGCGGAAUUCCAGGUGUAGCGGUGAAAUGCGUAGAUAUCUGGAGGAACACCGGUGGCGAAGGCGGGUCUCUGGGCAACAACUGACGCUGAGGAGCGAAAGCGUGGGGAGCGAACAGG